AUUGAACGCUGGCGGCAGGCCUAACACAUGCAAGUCGAGCGGAGCGGCGGACGGGUGAGUAAUGCCUAGGAAUCUGCCAGGUAGUGGGGGAAAACGUCCGGAAACGGGCGCUAAUACCGCAUACUAUCAGAUGAGCAUAUGUCGGAUUGGCUGGUUGGUGGGGGAAAGGCCUACCACGGCGACGAGCCGUAACUGGUCUGAGAGGAUGAUCAGUCACACUGGAACUAGGCCACGGUCCAGACUCCGACUUAGUCCAUCCGGUAAAGAUAUUGCACAAGGGGCGCAAGCCUGAUCCAGCCAUGCCGCGUGUAUGAAGAGGUCCUUCGGGUUGUAAAGUACUUUCAGCGGGGAGGCGUUACCCGCAGAAGAAGCACCGGCUAACUCCGUGCCAGCAGCCGCGGUAAUUC
rnacentral:rRNA from 1 species